UACGGGGGGGGCAAGCGUUGUUCGGAAUUACUGGGCGUAAAGGGCUCGUAGGUGGCCAACUAAGUCAGACGUGAAAUCCCUCAGCUUAACUGGGGAACUGCGUCUGAUACUGGAUGGCUUGAGUUUGGGAGAGGGAUGCGGAAUUCCAGGUGUAGCGGUGAAAUGCGUAGAUAUCUGGAGGAACAUCAGUGGCGAAGGCGACACCCUGGACUCAUACUGACACUGAGGUGCGAAAGCGUGGGGAGCAAACAGG
rnacentral:rRNA from 1 species